GAUGAACGCUGGCGGCGUGCCUAAUACAUGCAAGUCGAGCGACCAGACGAGGAGCUUUCUCCUCUGACGUUAGCGGCGGACGGGUGAGUAACACGUGGAUCACCUACCUAUAAUACUGGGAUGACUUCGGGAAACCGGAGCUAAUACCGGAUAAUAUAUUUAACCGCAUGGUUCAUUAGUUAAUGACGGUUUUGCUGUCUCUUAUAGAUGGUUCCGCGACGGAUUAGCUAGUUGGUAAGGUAAAGGCCUACCAAGGCAACGAUGCGUAGCCGACCUGAGAGGGUGAUAGGCCACACUGGAACUGAGACACGGUCCAGACUCCUACGGGAGGCAGCAGUAGGGAAUAUUCGGCAAUGGGCGAAAGCCUGAAGCAGCAACGCCGCGUGAGUGAUGAAGGCCUUCGGAUCGUAAAACUCUGUUAUUAGGGAAGAAAAAAUGUAGGAGUAAACAUGCACGUCUUGACGGUACCUAAACAGAAAGCAACGGCUAACUUCGUG
rnacentral:rRNA from 1 species